rnacentral:tRNA from 1 species
GGUCAGGUAGCCUAGCGGUUAAGGCAGCCCAUGCGUGUUGGGUCCAGAUCCAAAUGUCUGGUCGCUGGUUCGAAUCCAGCCCCGACCA